rnacentral:rRNA from 1 species
UACAGAGGUCUCAAGCGUUGUUCGGAAUCACUGGGCGUAAAGGGUGCGUAGGCUGCACGGUAAGUCAGGCGUGAAAGCCCUGGGCUCAACCCGGGAAUUGCGCUUGAGACUGGUGUGCUUGAGUACGGGAGAGGAUAGUGGAAUUCCCAGUGUAGAGGUGAAAUUCGUAGAUAUUGGGAAGAACACCGGUGGCGAAGGCGGCUAUCUGGACCGUAACUGACGCUGAGGCGCGAAAGCGUGGGGAGCAAACAGG